rnacentral:rRNA from 1 species
UGAGUAGGCGGUUGCAUAUGUCAGAUGUAAAAGGCACAGGCUUAACUUGUGUUAGCAUUUGAAACUGUGCGACUUGAGUGCAGGAGAGGUAAGUGGAAUUCCUAGUGUAGCGGUGAAAUGCGUAGAUAUUAGGAGGAACACCAGUGGCGAAGGCGACUUACUGGACCGUAACUGACGCUGAGUCACGAAAGCGUGGGUAGCAAACAG